CUUAUUUCCUCAUGCAUUUGGGUCUAAUAGACUGAUGUGAAAAAAAAUCUUUGAAAUUGGUCCAGUAUUGAGCAAGACCGCAAUAACAGGCCGCUGCAAACGGGGCUGCAAUGUAACCCAAUGGGGCAAUUGUGCACCCUCAAUUUUUUUCCACUAAAAAUGCUUGUUACUAA